rnacentral:tRNA from 1 species
GUCGGCGUAGCUCAGUCGGUAGAGCAUAGCACUCAUAAAGCUAAGGUCGGUGGUUCGAUCCCACCCGUCGACA